UUUAUCGGUUGACUUGAAGAUACAAAAACGGCAGCCCACAUCGCAUACAUAACUCAGAUCACAUUUUUCGUCUGCUUACACAACAAGAAAGUUUCCUUGUAGUUGAGUUCACUCUUCAUCAUCAUGGUUUCUGCAUUAAAAACAAGGUUACCCAUCACGUACAGAUGCACGGGCUCAAACACAUAUACUGUGAGGGAAGUGGCCAUCCAUAAUUCAUUUCUGUUGUUCAUGUCUAGAUCACCGGAAAACAUAACAUCAACACUGUAGAUUCAAUUAUAUAGAAAGCAUACCAUCUCCAACAUGAUAAGCGUGCCUGUGACUAACCUUAACGGGUACCAUUCAGAUAUGGGGAAAAUAACAUUGAAUUAUGUUAUAUAAAUAUAUCCUCUUUCUCCCAACAACUUUUAGGUGUGUUAUUCCUCUAACAUUGAUGUGUUCAUGUUUAGCAAGAAACCACAAGUGCCAGCAGUCCAGCAGCAGAAGUAUAAGAUGUUUGGAAGUAGCGAUGGAACUAUUUCACUAAGCACCAAUCUGUGACUCCAAAUUCGAGUGAAAACACAUCGGAAAAUAUAAUCUAGCUCUUAAACAGUUUCCAUAAUACUUCAUUUUAGUUGAAGGAGUUCCCCCCUGAUUUAUUAAGUAACAGUUUCCAUAGUGCUAAGACACAUAAUGAGUGUUAACCUUUGAUAUUUUCUGUUCUCUUGUUCAACCAGGUGCUUUCCAAAUUUAAUCAUUUAAGAAACCUUUAUUUGCAUGCAAUUACAGAGAAAAAGGUGAAC
rnacentral:lncRNA from 1 species